GCUAACGUCCGUCGUGAAGAGGGAAACAACCCAGACCGCCAGCUAAGGUCCCAAAGUCAUGGUUAAGUGGGAAACGAUGUGGGAAGGCAUAGACAGCCAGGAUGUUGGCUUAGAAGCAGCCAUCAUUUAAAGAAAGCGUAAUAGCUCACUGGUCGAGUCGGCCUGCGCGGAAGAUGUAACGGGGCUAAACCAUGCACCGAAGCUGCGGCAGCGACGCUUAGGCGUUGUUGGGUAGGGGAGCGUUCUGUAAGCCGUUGAAGGUGGCCUGUGAGGGUUGCUGGAGGUAUCAGAAGUGCGAAUGCUGACAUAAGUAACGAUAAAGCGGGUGAAAAGCCCGCUCGCCGGAAGACCAAGGGUUCCUGUCCAACGUUAAUCGGGGCAGGGUGAGUCGACCCCUAAGGCGAGGCUGAAAAGCGUAGUCGAUGGGAAACAGGUUAAUAUUCCUGUACUUGGUGUUACUGCGAAGGGGGGACGGAGAAGGCUAGGCUAGCCGGGCGACGGUUGUCCCGGUUUAAGCGUGUAGGGGGUGUGACCUGGUAAAUCCGGUUGCAUAUCAACCCUGAGGCGUGAUGACGAUGCACUACGGUGCAGAAGUAGUUGAUGCCCUGCUUCCAGGAAAAGCCUCUAAGCUCCAGGUAACAUUGAAUCGUACCCCAAACCGACACAGGUGGUCAGGUAGAGAAUACCAAGGCGCUUGAGAGAACUCGGGUGAAGGAACUAGGCAAAAUGGUGCCGUAACUUCGGGAGAAGGCACGCUGGCAUGUAGGUGAAGUCCCUUGCGGAUGGAGCUGAAGCCAGUCGAAGAUACCAGCUGGCUGCAACUGUUUAAUAAAAACACAGCACUGUGCAAACACGAAAGUGGACGUAUACGGUGUGACGCCUGCCCGGUGCUGGAAGGUUAAUUGAUGGGGUCAGCCGCAAGGCGAAGCUCUUGAUCGAAGCCCCAGUAAACGGCGGCCGUAACUAUAACGGUCCUAAGGUAGCGAAAUUCCUUGUCGGGUAAGUUCCGACCUGCACGAAUGGCGUAAUGAUGGCCAGGCUGUCUCCACCCGAGACUCAGUGAAAUUGAACUCGCUGUGAAGAUGCAGUGUACCCGCGGCAAGACGGAAAGACCCCGUGAACCUUUACUAUAGCUUGACACUGAACAUUGAGCCUUGAUGUGUAGGAUAGGUGGGAGGCUUUGAAGCGUGGACGCCAGUCUGCGUGGAGCCAUCCUUGAAAUACCACCCUUUAAUGUUUGAUGUUCUAACUCGGCCCCAUAAUCUGGGGUGAGGACAGUGUCUGGUGGGUAGUUUGACUGGGGCGGUCUCCUCCCAAAGAGUAACGGAGGAGCACGAAGGUUAGCUAAUCACGGUCGGACAUCGUGAGGUUAGUGCAAAGGCAUAAGCUAGCUUGACUGCGAGAGUGACGGCUCGAGCAGGUACGAAAGUAGGUCUUAGUGAUCCGGUGGUUCUGAAUGGAAGGGCCAUCGCUCAACGGAUAAAAGGUACUCCGGGGAUAACAGGCUGAUACCGCCCAAGAGUUCAUAUCGACGGCGGUGUUUGGCACCUCGAUGUCGGCUCAUCACAUCCUGGGGCUGAAGUAGGUCCCAAGGGUAUGGCUGUUCGCCAUUUAAAGUGGUACGCGAGCUGGGUUUAGAACGUCGUGAGACAGUUCGGUCCCUAUCUGCCGUGGGCGUUGGAAGAUUGAGAGGGGUUGCUCCUAGUACGAGAGGACCGGAGUGAACGCACCACUGGUGUUCGGGUUGUCAUGCCAAUGGCAUUGCCCGGUAGCUAAGUGCGGAAAAGAUAAGCGCUGAAAGCAUCUAAGCGCGAAACUUGCCUCAAGAUGAGUCUUCCCUGGGCCUUUAAGGUCCCUGAAGGAACGUUU
rnacentral:rRNA from 1 species